rnacentral:rRNA from 1 species
UACGGAGGGAGCUAGCGUUGUUCGGAAUUACUGGGCGUAAAGCGCACGUAGGCGGCCAAGUCAGUCAGGUGUGAAAUACCUCGGCUCAACCGAGGAACUGCGCCUGAUACUGCUUGGCUUGAGGUCCGGAGGGGAGAGUGGAAUUCCCGGUGGAGCGGUGAAAUGCGUAGAUAUCUGGAGGAACACCGGUGGCGAAGGCGGCAUCCUGGACCAACACUGACGCUGAGGAGCGAAAGCCAGGGGAGCAAACGGG